AGUGAACGCUGGCGGUAGGCCUAACACAUGCAAGUCGAACGGCAGCACAGUAAGAGCUUGCUCUUACGGGUGGCGAGUGGCGGACGGGUGAGGAAUACAUCGGAAUCUACUUUUUCGUGGGGGAUAACGUAGGGAAACUUACGCUAAUACCGCAUACGACCUACGGGUGAAAGCAGGGGAUCUUCGGACCUUGCGCGAUUGAAUGAGCCGAUGUCGGAUUAGCUAGUUGGCGGGGUAAAGGCCCACCAAGGCGACGAUCCGUAGCUGGUCUGAGAGGAUGAUCAGCCACACUGGAACUGAGACACGGUCCAGACUCCUACGGGAGGCAGCAGUGGGGAAUAUUGGACAAAGGGCGCAAGCCUGAUCCAGCCAUACCGCGUGGAUGAAGAAGGCCUUCGGGUUGUAAAGCCCUUUUGUUGGGAAAGAAAAGCAGCAGGUUAAUACCCCGCUGUUCUGACGGUACCCAAAGAAUAAGCACCGGCUAACUUCGUG
rnacentral:rRNA from 1 species